rnacentral:lncRNA from 1 species
UUUCGGGUUGUAACUUGGCUUGGGUUAGGGUAUGGAUUAUUCAAACAAAAACGGGAAACAAGUGGGUUUUUGGUUCAGAGUCGAAGUUACAUACUGUGUUUGUUUCUUUUGCUUGCUCGGUUUUCUUUUCUUUCUAUUUUUUUUCACUUAAUGCCCUUUUUCGUGCUUCUUUUUGAAUCUUCGAGUUAUAAAUUUUUCUCUUUUUUUUUCUCUUUCUC